GAUGAACGCUGGCGGCGCGCCUAACACAUGCAAGUCGAACGGCACCUAUCUUCGGAUAGAAGCGAGUGGCGAACGGCUGAGUAACACGUGGAGAACCUGCCCCCUCCCCCGGGAUAGCCGCCCAAAAGGACGGGUAAUACCGGAUACCCCCGGGCGCCGCAUGGCGCCCGGGCUAAAGCCCCGACGGGAGGGGAUGGCUCCGCGGCCCAUCAGGUAGACGGCGGGGUGACGGCCCACCGUGCCGACAACGGGUAGCCGGGUUGAGAGACCGACCGGCCAGAUUGGGACUGAGACACGGCCCAGACUCCUACGGGAGGCAGCAGUGGGGAAUCUUGCGCAAUGGGGGGAACCCUGACGCAGCGACGCCGCGUGCGGGACGGAGGCCUUCGGGUCGUAAACCGCUUUCAGCAGGGAAGAGUCAGGACUGUACCUGCAGAAGAAGCCCCGGCUAACUACGUGCCAGCAGCCGCGGUAAUACGUAGGGGGCGAGCGUUAUCCGGAUUCAUUGGGCGUAAAGCGCGCGUAGGCGGCCCGGCAGGCCGGGGGUCGAAGCGGGGGGCUCAACCCCCCGAAGCCCCCGGAACCUCCGCGGCUUGGGUCCGGUAGGGGAGGGUGGAACACCCGGUGUAGCGGUGGAAUGCGCAGAUAUCGGGUGGAACACCGGUGGCGAAGGCGGCCCUCUGGGCCGAGACCGACGCUGAGGCGCGAAAGGUGGGGGAGCGAACAGGAUUAGAUACCC
rnacentral:rRNA from 1 species